GUGCUGCUUCUGUGUUCAGCACAUAUUCUAAAACUGGGACCGUACAGAGAAGAUUAGUAUGGUCCCUGUGUAAGGGUAACAUUAAAAUUCAUUAAAUAUGCCAUAAAAAU
rfam:Tupaia chinensis contig84094, whole genome shotgun sequence.